UUAAUUCUCAGGUAUGAGCAUACUCUCACCAAGCUUAAUAGUUUUUAUAAGCAGAGAGGUAAGGAGGGUUGGGCCAUUGAUGGUGAUCGUAAUACAAAGUUUUUUCAUCAAGUUGUGCUAAAGAGAAGAAAAAGGAAUACUAUAUCCGUUAAGGAUGAAAAUGAUGUUAUGAACUUUAAAACCACCCUCAUUACUAACACCUUUGUUACCUAUUUCAGCAACUCUGGAAGACCUUUUCUCGCUACUCAUUUACAAGAGGACUCUUUGGAUCCUACUUAUUUAAUUCCACAUAAAAAUGAAGUUUGGUAGAUUUUGAAAGACAUGGAGUUGAAUGCCUCACCAGGGCCGGAUGGAUUUAAUGUUGAGUUUUAUUUGGCUGCUUGGGAUUGGAUAGGAGAUGAAGUCACUCAAUUGGUGGUCAAUUUUUAUAAAACAGGUAUAUUACCACCUAAUAUAAGCGAUACUAACAUUGCACUCAUUCCUAACAAGCUUGUUCCUCAGGUUCCCAUGGAUUAUCGUCCCAUUAGUCUUUGUAAUGUUAUUUACAAAAUCAUUGCCAAAUCUUUAGCGAACCGUCUUAAAGCCCAUCUUCCUGAUUAUAUUGACCCUGCUCAACAAGCUUUAUUGAGGGUAGAAGAAUUAGUGAUAAUAUCAUUAUUGCUCAAGAGAUCACUCACUCUUUUGCUCUUCGAUUAUGGAAUCACCUUGCUUUCAUGCUUAAAAUUGAUAUUGCUAAGGCUUUUGAUCGUUUAG
rnacentral:rRNA from 1 species